UACAGAGGGUGCGAGCGUUAAUCGGAUUUAUUGGGCGUAAAGGGCGCGUAGGUUGUUGUGUCAGUGAUGGGUGAAAGCCCCGGGCUUAACCUGGGACCGUCCUGUCAUACUGCACAACUAGAGUACAGCAGAGGUAAGUGGAAUUUCCGGUGUAGCGGUGAAAUGCGUAGAUAUCGGAAAGAACAUCAGUGGCGAAGGCG
rnacentral:rRNA from 1 species